CUACGGGCGGCUGCAGUGAGGAAUUUUGCGCAAUGGGGGAAACCCUGACGCAGCAACGCCGCGUGAGUGAUGAAGGCUUUCGAGUCGUAAAGCUCUGUCAAGUGGGAAGAACCUACUAAGUGCCAAUACCACUUAGUACUGACGGUACCACUGAAGGAAGCACCGGCUAACUCCGUGCCAGCAGCCGCGGUAAUACGGGGGGUGCAAGCGUUACUCGGAAUUAUUGGGCGUAAAGGGCGCGCAGGCGGCCAGGUAAGUCAGAUGUGAAAGCCCGGGGCUCAACCCCGGAAGUGCAUUUGAAACUACUUGGCUUGAGUAUGGGAGAGGGAAGUGGAAUUCCUGGUGUAGAGGUGAAAUUCGUAGAUAUCAGGAGGAACACCGGUGGCGAAGGCGACUUCCUGGACCAAUACUGACGCUGAGGCGCGAAGGCGUGGGUAGCAAACAGGAUUAGAUACCCUAGUAGUC
rnacentral:rRNA from 1 species